UAAGACACGGCCGAGUGGUAAAGGCGAUUGACUUGCAAUGCAUUUCCCCGUAUGAGGGCGUAGGUUCGAAUCCUACAAUCUUCA
rnacentral:tRNA from 1 species